UACGUAGGUGACGAGCGUUAUCCGGAUUUAUUGGGCGUAAAGCGCACGUAGGCGGCGCAACAAGUCUGACGUGAAAUCUCCCGGCUUAACUGGGAGCGGUCGUUGGAAACUGUUGUGCUUGAGGCGAUGAGAGGGGUGUGGAAUUCCCGGUGUAGUGGUGGAAUGCGUAGAUAUCGUAAGGAAGACCAGUGGCGAAGGCGGGUCUCUGGACAGUUCCUGACGCUGAGGCACGAAGGCCAGGGGAGCAAACGGG
rnacentral:rRNA from 1 species